rnacentral:rRNA from 1 species
AUUGAACGCUGGCGGCAUGCUUUACACAUGCAAGUCGAACGGCAGCGCGGGGGCAACCCUGGCGGCGAGUGGCGAACGGGUGAGUAAUGCAUCGGAACGUAUCCUGUAAUGGGGGAUAACGUAGCGAAAGUUACGCUAAUACCGCAUACGCUCGAGAGAGGAAAGUGGGGGAUCGCAAGACCUCACGUUAUAGGAGCGGCCGAUGUCCGAUUAGCUAGUUGGUGGGGUAAAGGCCUACCAAGGCGACGAUCGGUAGCUGGUCUGAGAGGAUGAUCAGCCACACUGGGACUGAGACACGGCCCAGACUCCUACGGGAGGCAGCAGUGGGGAAUUUUGUGCAAUGGGGGAAACCCUGACACAGCGACACCGCGUGAACGAAGAAGCCCUUUGGGUGUAAAGUUCUGUCGGCUGGAACGAAAAAAUGACGUACCAGCAAAGGAAGCAUCGGCUAACUACGUG